rnacentral:lncRNA from 1 species
AUCAAGUUGUUCGAGACUACUGGAGACUACAAAGCAGGUGCGAGUUGGAGGUGGUAGGAGCUAAACUAUGCUGCGGCCCUCCAGGAGUCCAGUUUUAGACUACUGAUGUGGAUGUUGGAUGCUUGAUUCUGACUGGUUGAUGAGUAUUCUAAGGUGUGCUGUUAUUCUCAGCUAACCGCACAGAUGAAGUAGAUCCGGCAGGUUUUGAGUGCUUUACAGUUUUAUAUCACUACGCUGAAUGAUUCGAGUCAUUUCACAGCUACAACAGGAAAAAAAUAUAUAAUAAAAAUCACAUCAGAAGUAAUAUAGACAUUUCAAUCAGAAACAGAAUAUUAAUGGAGAAAACGGUGGGCGUGGCUUGUUUUUUUUAACUGCGAGCUGAUUGGAUGUGAAAAAGUAGGCAUUUCAAUUAGAAACAGAAUAAAUGAGAAAACAGUGGGCAUGACUUGUUUUUUUCGACUGCGAGCUGAUUGGAUGUAGUAAAGUAGGCAUUUCAAUCAGAAACAGAUUAUUAAAUGAAAAAACAGUGGGUGUGGCUUGUUUUUUUUCGACUGCGAGCUGAUUGGAUGUAGUAAAGUAGGCAUUUCAUUCAGAAAGAGAAUAUUAAACAAGCUAACAGUGGGCGUGGCUUGUUUUUUUUCUACUGUGAGCUGAUUGGAUGUAGUAAAGUAGGCAUUUCAAUCAGAAAUAGAAUGUCAAAUGAGAAAAUAAUGGGUGUGGCUUGUUUUUUCGACUGCGAGCU